AACCAUUCUCACCUGCGGCUAGACCUGCGGAGGGAUCAUUAACGAAUAACUAUGGUGUUGGUUGUAGCUGGCUCCUCGGAGCAAUGUGCACGCCCGCCAUUUUUAUCUUUCCACCUGUGCACCGACUGUAGGUCUGGAUACCUCUCGCCUCCGGGCGGAUGCGAGGGUUGCUCGUGAGGGCUUCCCUUGAACUUCCAGGCUCUACGUCUUUUUACACACCCCAAUAGUAUGAUGCAGAAU
rnacentral:misc_RNA from 1 species